rnacentral:rRNA from 1 species
AUACGUAGGUGGCAAGCGUUGUCCGGAAUUAUUGGGCGUAAAGCGCGCGCAGGUGGUUCCUUAAGUCUGAUGUGAAAGCCCCCGGCUCAACCGGGGAGGGUCAUUGGAAACUGGGGAACUUGAGUGCGGCAGAGGGGGAUGGAAUUCCGCGUGUAGCAGUGAAAUGCGUAGAGAUUUGGAGGAACACCAGUGGCGAAGGCGACUUUCUGGUCUGUAACUGACGCUGAGGCGCGAAAGCGUGGGGAGCAAACAGGAUUAGAUACCCUGGUAGUCCACGCCGUAAACGAUGAGUGCUAAGUGUUAGGGGGUUUCCGCCCCUUAGUGCUGCAGCUAACGCAUUAAGCACUCCGCCUGGGGAGUACGGCCGCAAGGUUAAAACUCAAAUGAAUUGGCGGGG